GGAUAUGAGAGCGAUCUGGCUGAGACGUCUGUUACCCUAUUGAUCGCCAGGGUUGAUUCGGCGACCUGGCUAGUGAGGCGUGUGUGCUCUUCUUCCCUCACCGCUUUAUGUGUGUCCCUCAAUAAGUGCGCACUCCGUGGAAGAGGACGUCCAUCUCCCAGAGAAGAGGACCAGUCUUCGAUCAAAGGUAUAGGAGUAGCUGCACUCCCCUGCUAGACUCUCCAACCAUGCUAUUUUUUCUUUUUUUUCUUUUUUUUUUUGAGAUGGAGUCUCAUUCUGUCGCUAGGCUGGAGUGCAAUAGCAUGAUCUCAACUCACUGCAACCUCUGCCUCCUGGGU
rnacentral:snRNA from 1 species